rnacentral:misc_RNA from 1 species
AAAUGCGAUAAGUAAUGUGAAUUGCAGAAUUCAGUGAAUCAUCGAAUCUUUGAACGCACAUUGCGCCUAUUAGUAUUCUAGUAGGCAUGCCUGUUUGAGUAUCAUGAAAUCUUCAAAGUAAAUCUUUUGUUAACUCAAUUGGUUUCUACUUUGGUAUUGGAGGUCUUUGCAGCUUCACACCUGCUCCUCUUUGUUCAUUAGCUGGAUCUCAGUGUUAUGCUUGGUUCCACUCGGCGUGAUAAGUUAUCUAUCGCUGAGGACACUGUAAAAGGUGGCCAAGGUAAAUGCAGAUGAACCGCUUCUAAUAGUCCAUUGACUUGGACAAUACUUUUAUGAUCUGAUCUCAAAUCAGGUAGGACUACCCGCUGAACUUAAGC